rnacentral:rRNA from 1 species
GAUGAAUGCUGGCGGCGUGCUUAACACAUGCAAGUCGAGCGGUAAGGCCCUCGGGUACGACGAGCGGCGGACGGCUGAGUAACGCGUGGGAACAUGCCCAAACGUGAGGAAUAAGCUCCAGAAAUGGAGUCUAAUGCCGCAUAUGAUCUUAGGAUUAAAGGAUUAUCCGCUUUGGAGUGCCUGCGUACGAUUAGGUAGUUGGUGAGGUAAUGCUCACCAAGCCUACGAUCGUUAGCUGGUCUGAGAGGAUGACCA